rnacentral:hammerhead_ribozyme from 1 species
GCACUGCUGAGGAGUCCCGCGACGGGACGAAACGGCCGUCUGGUAC